rnacentral:rRNA from 1 species
GAUGAACGCUAGCGGCAGGCUUAACACAUGCAAGUCGAGGGGCAGCAUAAUGAAACAGCAAUGUGGAUUUGAUGGCGACCGGCGCACGGGUGCGUAACGCGUAUGCAACCUACCCAUAACAGGGGGAUAACACUGAGAAAUUGGUACUAAUACCCCAUAACACAGGGGUUCCGCAUGGAAAUAUUUGUUAAAAGGGUUUCCGCUGGUAGAUAGGCAUGCGUUCCAUUAGAUAGUUGGUGAGGUAACGGCUCACCAAGUCGACGAUGGAUAGGGGUUCUGAGAGGAAGGUCCCCCACAUUGGUACUGAGACACGGACCAAACUUCCUACGGGAGGCAGCAGUGAGGAAUAUUGGUCAAUGGGCGAGAGCCUGAACCAGCCAAGUCGCGUGAAGGAUGAAGGAUCUAAUGGUUUAGUAAAACUUCUUUUAAUACGGGAAUAAAGUGUGGUAC